UCGAGCCGUAUGCGGGGAAACUCGCACGUACGGUUCCUCGGGGGCCGCGUUUUCGAGAGGGAACGCGGCUACCCUCU
rfam:Paraburkholderia caribensis strain Bcrs1W chromosome 3, complete sequence.